AUGAUGGACCACAUUCAUGAGGGAUGGUUCCACAGCGUUGAGACGGACCAAGGAUUUGUGCCGCUGCGGGUUCUUCAACCGGCACGUGUAGCCCUGGCAGACCCCCUCUGGUGGAUGUGCUGUUUGGCCCGAGGGGGCAAAAUCACGAAAAAGUCUUUUACUUUCGCGUUCCGUUCACAGCGGCUAUCCCAACCGCUAGCGAGCGCGUGUGGAUCCACACCAGCCGGACCCGCAGCCCAGGUGGCAUUUCACUCCGACCCCACCUCGCAUCCUUUUCCAAACCAGCACGCGAUGAAUACAGAGUCCAACCCUCGCAUACGUAUUCAGAGACGAGCGGCGGCCCAUACCUGUACUGCUGUCACGACCCCACCUUGUGGGAGGAGAAGCCAUUCGAAAUUUGAAUCGCCUCCCAUUUCCUUCCUGACCGCAACUCCGAGACCUCGGCGAGAAAACCGCAAGAUCUGCCGUCCGGCGAUGGAGCGGCCGCCGACAGGGAUGUACCCCGCGACGGAAUCGUUCACCCAACUCCUUCUAAGCUUCUCCUCCAUCCCUUCCCAAGAUCCAAAGCUCAGUUGGACCCAGCAAGAAGAAGAAGAGGAUGAGGGUGUGACAGAUUCGACAGAGGGCGAAAACCAUUGCGGGGGCGGGAUCCACACCGAGCAUCAAUUUCAGUCACCUCCCACCAGAACAGAUCCGUCUUCCCCUAUUGCUGAUGCCGACGACCGCAAAAUCAUAACACGGAAGGUAUAUUUGGCCAACGCUAUCAUCAACAGAAAUGACGGGCUCUAG
rnacentral:rRNA from 1 species